AUGGCGAUGGUGAAGAAGAGCACAAGCGUCCUGUGUCUCGUGGCCACCGUCAUGGUGGUCAUGGCUACCACCCUUCUUCUCUCCUCCUGCGACGCCCACAAAGAGGCAGAUGAGACUGCUGCGUUUCCCUUGCCGGCGCCAUGCUACUCCACCUCUUUGCCAAACUAUAUCGAUGACAAGUGCAAGAAGUUUUGUGGCGGCGAAGGCAAGCCGCCGGGCCCCAAGGCAUUAUGCAAUGACAACAAUAACUGCUGUUGUCCUGUCAUUCAAAUGGGCAUGGUCCAGUGCAUGUUCGUUAAUGUUGUCUUGUUCCCAUUUAGCCCUACUAAUGGUUGCUCAUGA
rnacentral:rRNA from 1 species